AGCAGCCGCGGUAAUUCCAGCUCCAAUAGCGUAUAUUAAAGUUGUUGCAGUUAAAAAGCUCGUAGUUGAAUUUCGGGAUCAAGGAAUCGGUCAUGCCUUGGUAUGUACUGGUUUUAUUGGUUCUCACCUUCUAAAGAACCAUAAUGUCAUUUAUUUGAUGUUAUGGGGAAUUAGGACUGUUACCUUGAAAAAUUAGAGUGUUUAAAGCAAGCGCACGCUUGAAUACAUUAGCAUGGAAUAAUGAAAUAGGACGGUUUGAGUUCUAUUUUGUUUGGUUUCUAGGAUCGACGUAAUGAUUAAUAGGGAUAGUUGGGGGCAUUAGUAUUC
rnacentral:rRNA from 1 species